rnacentral:miRNA from 14 species
UUCAUGGAGCCCUAGUGGGAGAAUCUCCAAACGAAUCAGCUACCACGCCACCAUGGCAGGUCGGCAGCAAUCUGGUCUCUGAGGAUUCUGUGAAAUGGUCUGCAGAGUUGAGUUUGUUCCUUUGAGA